AACGGCGCCGUAAACUAUAACGGCUAAGGGUAGCGAAAUUCCUUGUCGGGUAAGUUCCCACCCGCACGAAAGGCGUAACGAUCUGGGCACUGUCUCGGAGAGAGGCUCGGUGAAAUAGACAUGUCUGUGAAGAUGCGGACUACCUGCACCUGGACAGAAAGACCCUAUGAAGCUUUACUGUUCCCUGGGAUUGGCUUUGGGCCUUUCCUGCGCAGCUUAG
rfam:Hordeum vulgare subsp. vulgare, WGS project CAJW01000000 data, contig: morex_contig_968047